GUCAGCCUCCUUCUUCCGCUUCUGGCGGAUGUCUUCAUAGGGCACCUCCUGGAAGGCCAGCGGCGUGGCCCGCUCCCACACGCGGAACGCCUGGCGGAUGGCCUCGUACGAGUGGUAGCGGCCCAGCUUCUCCGUGUAGUUCUGGAUGCUGCGGGCACAGAGCGGCGGCGGCUCAGGGCAGCCCGCGGCCGGCAGGGUCUGCGCCCAGGGGCGGGCGAUGCUGGCGGCCGCGCGUACCUGAAGCACGCCGGUGACGGGGAUCCCGUAGAACUUCUGCAUCUCGGAGAGGGCCGAGGAGAGGAUCUGGGCGGAGCGCAUGGUGGACAUCUGCCGGCUGCCCGGCGGCAGGUACCCGUACAGCCGCAGCCAUGCCUCGGCGUUCAGCUCUCCGCCCGUCGCCCCCAGCAGCGCCAGCAGCACGGCCGCCACGAGGGUUCCGCCCGCCCGGCAGGGGGCGCCCUCACGCCGCGCCCCGCCGCCCGCCAUCCCGACCUACGCCGCCCUCAUGGCCCGGGCCCGGGCCGCCGCCGCGGGGGCUGCGCGCGGAGCAUGGGCGGCGCUGCCCCUCGGCGCCCGCCCGCCUUUGUGUGGGGCUCAGGCCGGCGGGGCGCGGCCCAUGUGCUCCGAGCGCCGCUCCGCACGGCUCGGCUCGGCUCGGCGCUGCCCGGCGGAGAGACGCGGGGCGGUGGCGGCGCGGGGCGGGGCGGUCGGCGGGGCGGGGCGGGGGAGGGCAGGGCAAGGCAAAGCACGGCAAAGCGCGACGAGACGAGCCGUGUUCCCGGCAGGUGCCCGCGCUCCGAGCGCCGCCCCCUCCGGGGGGGGGUGGGGAGGGGACGGCCGGGCGGAAGGGUUGCGCGCACCCACGGGGCGGGGGGGGCCGUGAGGCAGCGCCGCGCAGCAAACAGCAGCAAACAGCAGCGAGGACGGGCUGUUUGCGAGCCGCCGACGCGCUGCCGUCGCUGCUUCUCCCUCCCGCUCCCCCCGGGCGUUCGGUUAACGUGAAAGCCGCUGUUGCGGGGCCGCUGUGGGGCGCGGCGCUGUGCCGGGUGCGCUCUGUGGCCGUCGGGGCUGCGGGCCGCGCCGCUGUCGGCGCGCUGCGCUCCCAGAGGGGUCCGUCCGCGGGCACCGCCUCGCGUGGAGCCGACGGCGCGUCAGAGACGGAGCGGCUCGGAUACACCACAGAAACAGCGGCGUCAGACAGACGUUACUGCUCGGAAGGGCUCCCGCAGCGUCUCAUCAGCGACCGCGGCACGAAAGGCGGAGGGCAGCGCGGCAGCGCCCCGCUCUGAGUGCCGAGAGGCCGCAGCGCGCGCUCCCCGCACGAACAAAGGACGGACGGGGCCUUUCGCCGCGGCCCAACCCGGCCCACGGGCAGCGCAGGGACGGCCCCGCGCGGUGGUGCCGCGGUACGGAGAAGCCCCCGGGCCGCCCCCGGCCGACCGAGAACGCCCACCGGGCCGCCGUGCCACAGCCCGCAGCGCCCUCUGCGGGGCUCCCUGCGGCACGGAGCGGCGCGGCCGACACGGCCUUCCCGCACGAAUGACCUCAAAACAAAAGUCGCGGUCGUAAACCCAGGAUGGUCAGCGCUGAGACGAGGGGCUUCCUGCCUGUCUGCCAAGGCUCAGUCACAAGACUCCAUCGCGAGAUCCAGUCUUGGUGACAGCAUUUCAUGCUGAAAUUUAGAGGCAGCGGCAGCAGUGUGAGAGGGCUGCAGAUGUGACCCAGGAGCUCUGUGGGCUGGGUUGUGGUAGGGAGGUAUCAUAGAAUCACAGAACGGCCUGGGUUGAAAAGGCCCGCAGUGCUCAUCAGUUCCAACCCCCUGCUAUGUGCAGGGUCACCAACCAGCAGCCCAGGCUGCCCAGAGCCACAUCCAGCCUGGCCUUCAAUGCCUGCAGGGAUGGGGCAUCCACAGCCUCCUUGGGCAACCUGUUC
rnacentral:lncRNA from 1 species